GUAAGCUACUAAGAGCGAAUGGUGGAUGCCUUGACUGGUAAAGGCGAUGAAGGACGUACUAGACUGCGAUAAGCUACGGGGAGCUGUCAAGAAGCUUUGAUCCGUAGAUUUCCGAAUGGGGCAACCCAAUGUAUAGAGAUAUACAUUACCUAUAUAGGAGCGAACGAGGGGAAUUGAAACAUCUUAGUACCCUCAGGAAAAGAAAUCAAUAGAGAUUGCGUCAGUAGCGGCGAGCGAAAGCGCAAGAGGGCAAACCCAGUGCUUGCACUGGGGGUUGUAGGACUGCAAUGUGCAAGAGGUGAGUUUAGCAGAACAUUCUGGAAAGUAUAGCCAUAGAGGGUGAUAGUCCCGUAUGCGAAAAACAAACCUUAGCUAGCAGUAUCCUGAGUAGGGCGGGACACGAGAAAUCCUGUCUGAAGCUGGGUCGACCACGAUCCAACCCUAAAUACUAAUACCAGAUCGAUAGUGCACAAGUACCGUGAGGGAAAGGUGAAAAGAACUGAGGUGAUCAGAGUGAAAUAGAACCUGAAACCAUUUGCUUACAAUCAUUCAGAGCCCUAUGUAGCAAUACAGGGUGAUGGACUGCCUUUUGCAUAAUGAGCCUGCGAGUUGUGGUGUCUGGCAAGGUUAAGCAAACGCGAAGCCGUAGCGAAAGCGAGUCUGAAUAGGGCGCUUAGUCAGAUGCUGCAGACCCGAAACGAAGUGAUCUAUCCAUGAGCAAGUUGAAGCUAGUGUAAGAACUAGUGGAGGACUGAACCCAUAGGCGUUGAAAAGCCCCGGGAUGACUUGUGGAUAGGGGUGAAAGGCCAAUCAAACUUCGUGAUAGCUGGUUCUCUCCGAAAUAUAUUUAGGUAUAGCGUUGUGUCGUAAUAUAAGGGGGUAGAGCACUGAAUGGGCUAGGGCAUACACCAAUGUACCAAACCCUAUCAAACUCCGAAUACCUUAUAUGUAAUCACAGCAGUCAGGCGGCGAGUGAUAAAAUCCGUCGUCAAGAGGGAAACAACCCAGACUACCAGCUAAGGUCCCUAAAUCUUACUUAAGUGGAAAACGAUGUGAAGUUACUUAAACAACCAGGAGGUUGGCUUAGAAGCAGCCAUCCUUUAAAGAAAGCGUAAUAGCUCACUGGUCUAGUGAUUUUGCGCGGAAAAUAUAACGGGGCUAAAGUAAGUACCGAAGCUGUAGACUUGCGCACAACUUAGAUUAUUUAAGUUUAGAAUAUGAGAAACUAAGUUAUAUGUUUAGUUAUAUUUUUACUGAUUUUUAUAGAGUAAAGAUAGAAAUAAAACUUAGUAAAAUCAGUAAAAAUAUUCUUAGACUAAAGUUAAGUAGUUUAAGUUGUGUGCAAGUGGUAGGAGAGCGUUCUAUUUGCGUCGAAGGUAUACCGGUAAGGAGUGCUGGAGCGAAUAGAAGUGAGCAUGCAGGCAUGAGUAGCGAUAAUUAAUGUGAGAAUCAUUAACGCCGUAAACCCAAGGUUUCCUACGCGAUGCUCGUCAUCGUAGGGUUAGUCGGGUCCUAAGUCGAGUCCGAAAGGGGUAGACGAUGGCAAAUUGGUUAAUAUUCCAAUACCAACAUUAGUGUGCGAUGGAAGGACGCUUAGGGCUAAGGGGGCUAGCGGAUGGAAGUGCUAGUCUAAGGUCGUAGGAGGUUAUACAGGCAAAUCCGUAUAACAAUACUCCGAGAACUGAAAGGCUUUUUGAAGUCUUCGGAUGGAUAGAAGAACCCCUGAUGCCGUCGAGCCAAGAAAAGUUUCUAAGUUUAGCUAAUGUUGCCCGUACCGUAAACCGACACAGGUGGGUGGGAUGAGUAUUCUAAGGCGCGUGGAAGAACUCUCUUUAAGGAACUCUGCAAAAUAGCACCGUAUCUUCGGUAUAAGGUGUGGUUCGCUUCGUAUUAGGAUUUACUCCGAAAGCGAAGAAACUUACAACAAAGAGUCCCUCCCGACUGUUUACCAAAAACACAGCACUCUGCUAACUCGUAAGAGGAUGUAUAGGGUGUGACGCCUGCCCGGUGCUCGAAGGUUAAUUGAUGGGGUUAGCAUUAGCGAAGCUCUUGAUCGAAGCCCGAGUAAACGGCGGCCGUAACUAUAACGGUCCUAAGGUAGCGAAAUUCCUUGUCGGUUAAAUACCGACCUGCAUGAAUGGCGUAACGAGAUGGGAGCUGUCUCAAAGAGGGAUCCAGUGAAAUUGUAGUGGAGGUGAAAAUUCCUCCUACCCGCGGCAAGACGGAAAGACCCCGUGGACCUUUACUACAGCUUGACACUGCUAUUUGGAUAAGAAUGUGCAGGAUAGGUGGGAGGCUUUGAGUAUAUGACGCCAGUUGUAUAUGAGCCAUUGUUGAGAUACCACUCUUUCUUAUUUGGGUAGCUAACCAGCUUGAGUUAUCCUCAAGUGGGACAAUGUCUGGUGGGUAGUUUGACUGGGGCGGUCGCCUCCCAAAUAAUAACGGAGGCUUACAAAGGUUGGCUCAGAACGGUUGGAAAUCGUUCGUAGAGUAUAAAGGUAUAAGCCAGCUUAACUGCAAGACAUACAAGUCAAGCAGAGACGAAAGUCGGUCUUAGUGAUCCGGUGGUUCUGUGUGGAAGGGCCAUCGCUCAAAGGAUAAAAGGUACCCCGGGGAUAACAGGCUGAUCUCCCCCAAGAGCUCACAUCGACGGGGAGGUUUGGCACCUCGAUGUCGGCUCAUCGCAUCCUGGGGCUGGAGCAGGUCCCAAGGGUAUGGCUGUUCGCCAUUUAAAGCGGUACGCGAGCUGGGUUCAGAACGUCGUGAGACAG
rnacentral:rRNA from 1 species